rnacentral:rRNA from 1 species
AGAGGAAGUAAAAGUCGUAACAAGGUUUCCGUAGGUGAACCUGCGGAAGGAUCAUUACCGAAUCGUCAAACACGGGUUGUUGCUGGCCUCCAAACGGGGGCACGUGCACGCUCUGUUUACACAUCCACUCACACCUGUGCACCCUCUGUAGUCCUAUGGUUCGGAAGACCCCGUCUUCCUUCUGUAGCUCUACGUCUUUACACACACGCCGUAGCGAUGUCUCAUGGAAUGUUUUUAUGCGUUUGACGCGAUACAAUACAACUUUCAGCAACGGAUCUCUUGGCUCUCGCAUCGAUGAAGAACGCAGCGAAAUGCGAUAAGUAAUGUGAAUUGCAGAAUUCAGUGAAUCAUCGAAUCUUUGAACGCACCUUGCGCCCCUUGGUUAUUCCUUGGAGCAUGCCUGUUUGAGUAUCAUGAACACCUCAACUCUCAUGGUCUUCCAUGAUGAGCUUGGACUUUGGGGGUUUGCUGGCCCUGCGGCCGGCUCCUCUCAAAUGAAUCAGCUUGCCAGUGUUUGGUGGCAUCACGGGUGUGAUAACUAUCUACGCUCGCGGUCGUCUGCCAGGUAACCCUCAGCGAUGAGGGUUCAUUGGAGCUCAUAAACGUCUCUCCUCGGCGAGGACAACUUUUGAACGUUCGAUCUCAAAUCAGGUAGGAUUACCCGCUGAACUUAAGCAUAUCAAUAAGCGGAGGAAAAGAAACUAACAAGGAUUCCCCUAGUAACUGCGAGUGAAGCGGGAAGAGCUCAAAUUUAAAAUCUGGCGUGC